CCGCCCCGUUCGCCGCGCCUCCUCCUCCGCACAGCUCCGGUUGCGGGGAGGCCCGGGUGGGUACCCGGCGCUCCGGCUCCCAGUCUCCUGGGCUUCUCCAGUCCUUCAGCGCCGUUCUCCGGUCACAGGGAAUGAAAGCGAGGAAGAAGGAAACGGUGUCGAGAAUUGCGAAGAGAGAAAGCAUAGAAAACCCACAUUAGAGGCACUCCCAGAGCAGAAACCCUUCGGAGCAUCCCGACUUCCUCGGCCCGCGUGCAAUCCAGGCAAAAUUGAGGUUGUCUCUGAGCCGCCCUCCCUAAGCAGGUCGGAAAGCCCCCGAAUCAUCCCAGGUCCCGCCGCGCUGCACUCGCAACCUGGGGUGGAGGUCCCUCUAGUGGUUGGCACCAAACAAAAGUUCUGUCUUAUGAAGAGCCGAGGUCAGGAAGCAUUUCCCUGUGCCCAGCGCCAAGGUCUGGGACCUUAGGUCCAAGAAAAGCGUUGGCAAUGUCUGACCACAGGAAUGGGUUCUCGAACUGGGGAGGACUGAAGCUGGAGAUCUGGUCCAGCCCCUACCUCCAGCGUGUGGCCUGAACCCGUUUUGGUUGUACUGCUAUGUUGUGGCCCUGCCCAGGCCUCCAAGGACUGGCUGCUGUUAAGCUGUUUAAAAUCCCUGUAGGCCUCAGAUGGCAGCGACACCAGGGACUCGGCAUAGUCCCCAGCUCUGGCAGGAGUCACCACAGCCCUAGCCUUUAGUUCUCUACAGGCUGGAGUGUCGACAAACUCCACAGGACACAACUUUUUCAAACCAAAUUUACCCUCGCGGUCUGAAAUGACCAGUAGGCCCAGGAGAAUUUUACAUGUGAACAGAACCUAACCCACCCUGGCAAAUAUGAGACGUGUGGUCACUGCGGGAACCUGGCCAGCAGCAGACCAAAGCACAGCCAGCAGGGGAAGGCUGGGGCCCGCAAGAGUUGUGUUACAACAGGACACCCUUCAGUUCUCUUUCACUUCCUUAAAAUAGCAGCAGAGCGACUUUUGUAGACGCAGGCUGCCACAGUUCACACAAGGUCAUGGCUGUUUCCGAAUCCCACCCUUUAUUGCCCUAGCGGAGCCACUCCCCUUACCUCCGCCCCCAGAAACUGCUAGCCUGUUCUUAAAUUGAUACAGUUACCUUUUUAAAUGUUCUAAGUCACCGGCUCUGGAGCUUCUUUGCACUUUGGAACCAACUUGCGGGAAGGAACUUUAAAAAUACUGAUAUCUCGAUCCAUCCCCAGAGGUUCUGAUUUAAUGGUCUUGGGGAUAUGGCCACGGCAUGAGGACUGUUAAAACUCCGCAGGUGAUUCUUAUGUGCAACAAAGUUUAAGAACCACUGAUGUAGGCCAUGUCGAUGUCAGUCUUCACUUAAAUCCAACAAGACCCCAGAGCUAAAACGUUCACCUGAAAGAAACCCCAUUCCCAGGCCUGCAUACUGACCUGCGCUGGCUCACAAGAAGCAAAGUGGUCCCUUAACAGGGGCUUCCUGGAGAAAAUGUCUUGACCUAAAAGAGUGAUUCGAGCUGCAGGGAUUUAAGGACCGAGCUGAAGAAGCCCCCGUCUUCCAGCGCAUGUUAUUCCCAUGACAGAUGCUAAAAGUUCAAGGGGAGAGCUACAAGAAGUGCGUUUUCCUGUGGCUACUUUCAUGUCUGGAUGCAAUGCCUAGACCUGCAUCCAUCUUGCGACCAACCUGAAGAUGAACAGAAAGGAAGGAAGGAUGGCCCAAUAGCCUGGGAAGAACUGGUGUUCCUGAUACCAUCAUUAACCACAGAAUCUACAAUCCCGGAACCCCCCAUCCUUAACCAUGGAAUCUACAAUCCUAUCUCUAGACCCUUUGUCCAGAUGCUACAGUUUCUUUGUUCAAUCUAGUUUGUGUCAGGAUUUCUGUUCAUUACAUCAAAAGUAUUCUAAUACUUGUAGCAAAGCAACUGGAGAAGUUUUCACUUUGUCUUUAACCAAAGAAGACUUCCAGGAAACAUCUCCUCAGUGGGUUUCUCCCUCACCACUGGAUUUUUAUCUCUGUACUAGUGCUUUGAUUUGUUUUAGGAGUCUCACCUCUCCACCUGUCAUAUUUCCCUGGCAGGCUCAUUUCUGCUAAUGCCCACAAUAUGUGUAUCAAUGAGCUUUCAACGUUAGGUACACAGCUCUUCAGGCAUGUAUAGCACAUUAAUCUGUCUGCUUCUAAGUGGUCUGUUGACAUGUUUGGGUGCCAGUUAUAUCUACAAGGCUGUGAUCAUUGUCCUGGGUUAUUCUGUUUGUUCUCUCUGCAGGAUGCAUUAGGACACCCAAGGCCAUGGCCAUCACUUACAUCUAGGAUUCAAUCUUAUCUCCUGUGAAUCACUGGAAACCUCCUGUCCUGGAACCCUUUUUUUCCACAUCCCACUGGAUGUCAUUCAUAGCAACUGGUCUUGUGGGUUGUCUAUUUUAUUGUGUUGUCUUACUCUUCCUCCUGGUAUCAGUUUUUAAAUCCUCUUGAUGAGAUCAGCUGAUCAGUCGCUAAGCAACAUAGUCCCCCAUGUCUUUGUAAGAUUCUCUGCACUCAUGGCUAGAAUGAUUUAUUCUGGUAUCUUAAGCUGUGUUUCAGAACCUCAUUCUAAAUAUCAACCUAUUCUUGUAAGUCCACUACUGAUCAUCUUUAGAUAUUCUUCAGUCUUCCAGAGUUCCAAAGGGCAGUAGGAAGAAGCAAUGAAAAUACCACCUGUAUUCUCACAUCUUUCAUUGUUCCACUCAAAAAAUACCACCAUGUUCACUUCUGGUGGAACGUUUAUGUCCAUGAGAAGCAGUGGCUUUGAAGAGUUUUGGCAGACUAUGGCGCCUUACUCAACAUUGGGAAGGUAUCUUGCCAUCAGACCUUUUGGGUCUCCAUGAAACUUCUUAUACCCCCUCUGGGAAAAGUCACUAACUGUGAUCUUACUGAGCUUCUAAACACAGCAUUUUUUUUACACUUAAGUGAGCGGGGGUCCUCCUCAUUUGUGCUUCUCUUCUUGUAAGGGUGACUUCCUCCCAGUAGGAUGAAUCUCAUGCCUAUUUGUGUUAUUUUGCUAAUUCCAGCUUCUUUUCUACUCAGGGGGGUUCCAACUCUUUUAAGGUCUCAUCUUCAGCACUUCUAAACUGUGGGAAACUAUGUGAAAACAAAUGGAGUGGCCAAACACACCAUUCAUCACUGUGCUUCUGGACAGCUGCAAGUCCAUACGUGUUCUGAUAAUUCAAUACAAGAAAGAAGAUUUGCUUGGGAAGGUCUGAAUGGCCCUAGCUUUGUUUGUUAACCAUAACCUCUACCAGCUGGAAACACAAUGCCCCACUAAUACUAACAGUGCCUGCUUGUCCAAACAGCAUUCUGGCCACUUACAGCAAUUGACACAAAUUCUAACAGGUCUGUUAAUGUUUUUCAGAUCCUAAACUUGUAGUAGAUUUUUAUGUUCUCUGCAAUCAGUUUUGCUUCAGCGGCCCUGCAGGUGUUUAUGCGUGCUGGCAUGCUAAAUCUCACCAUUCAAAAUAGUUUAUUUUUUACAACAAAAUCUGAAGAAUAAUUUCUUCAUUUUGUCAAAAAAUACCCCAUUCCUAUUAUUUUUCUCUUCUUUAUCUUCACAGGUAGAUGGGGCAAAGCAUUACCUUGUGUAAAACUGCUGCUAAAAUAUAUUCCUAGUGAGAAAGGUCAACUUGUGGGCUAAAGUCCUUGUCACCUCCUGAUCAGUUUUCACUUAGGGCACAGCAGUCUGCCAUUCACCAUUGGGAUCUCUGUGUGUUUCUUCUCUCUUAUGAAAGGACAUAUUGAGCGCUCUAGGACUUGGCUGCCUACAUCAAGUAGAGGGGGACCCUCAUGAUUCACUAAGGGGCCUCAGUUCUGAAUAUUUCUCAUUAUUCAAAAAUGCAAAGCCAUUGUCAUUACGUGGCAGUUUAUUGGAACCAAGGGAGGAAUUGGUCCCUUUUCAUGUUCUUCUCCUAAAUAGAGAAAAGGUAAUUAAAACUUGGAGCUUAAUAAGGGCCAUCUCUAUUUGAACAGCCUAAUACAAAUCCAUUCUCAAUACCUUUUUACACCUUGUCUGAACUGACUUCUACUGUGUACUCCACUGCAUGGGAAUUCUGGAACUUUAGAACGAAGGGAACUCAAUUCAUUCUAUAUAUAUCUCAUUCAUUCAUUUUUUUUUCAUUUGUUCACCAAAUGCUAACUCAAUACCUACGUAACAGAGAUAAUGUUCUUAUUGUCUGUAAAUCAGAAAAUGCAUGCAUUGAAUAAACGCCAUAUAUUCUUGGAAGCUGAGGGCUGAUAACUCAAGGUAAAUGAUCAGCUAGUCUCCUAUGAAAUAAGUAUCUUAUUUCAUGUUACAUGUAGAAAUGACCAUGCAACUUUAUCUUAAAGCCAGGCCUUAUUGAGAAAAAGGGGAUCCAAAUUCCAAAUGUUUCCUUACAUGCUGAGAGGAAACCUUGGAGGUCUGAGCGUGAGUCAUAGGUAGAGGGAAAUCAUGCUAAGAUAUAUAUUGUUUCCACCAGACAGGUAGAGGAAGCAGAGACCCUUUGGCAGAAGAGAUACAGAGAAGAGAGGAGGAGAGGUUCUGGCUUUACCGUUCAGGCUUGAAACCCCAAGUUUAGAUGGAUUGAGGGGGAAGCUUAAGGCAAACAUGACCCCUGGGCCAACACAGGCUAGAGGAACAAUGUAGAAAUGACCAUGUAACUUUAUAGGCAUGAAGAAGAUGCCUGUGAUGGCACUGAGUCUCCUGUGGCUCCCUUGUGUGCCCAAAUGCCUGAAGGAUGUGAGAGUAUUGGUUGUUAGAAUUUCAGGGAAUUCCACCAAGUGGGGAAUGACUCUGUAUUAAGGGCUGCAAAGAAAAGCUCCCAGGCCAAGCAUUGAGUGGGAGGUGCUACCUGCCCUCAGGGAUCCACAGGGACUUCAACAGCUGAUGUGGGGUCUCAUCAGCCUCAAGGUGGCCAAGUUUCUAUGCUGAGACUAUAGCCCACAGUUACACCAGCCAUGAUCCUCAGCAGCAGAGGUAGUGAUGAUGAAGUCUGAUGCCCAAAGACAAGCAGAACAAUAUGCACAGUUCCAGCCAAUGCCACGAGGUAGCCUUUGUACUUCCCUAUACCUAGCUGGGAGGGAGGAAGGAAGGAGAGAGGAGACUCCUAGGAAGAGGAGAAAAUAAUUAUCCCAAAGAGACUGACAUAACCUGGAAAAGACCGAGAACUACUAAUUAGCAAGAUAAAGUUCAUUUACCUCUUCCUGUUUCUUACCAAGAUGGUAUGUAUCCUUUCAGAUAAUAAAUAAAUUUAUGUUUUCUUGCCCUAUUUUAAUGUGAUUUAAAUGUUUCUUGUUUUUUCUGUUUUCAUUCAUAACAAAAAUUUUGUUCUCAGAGACACUGAGACAUGAGACACGAUGCUGGACUAUAUUGGGGGGGAGCACCUCAUCAUAUGGGCAAGAUAUUGCAGCAGCAUGUAGCCCUCCACGUCCUGACUGCUCACUUCUCUUUCGCCAUCCCCUAACACACGUAUUAGGCUUUUGCUAUGUUCAUUUAUCUAGCCCAUAAGCCACUCCUUCAGAGGGCAAUGCAUGGAAUUGGCAGCCUUGGUUCCCCACCAACUGACAGGGGUCUGGAAUUCAGGUGUUUCCAAAGACCUGCAGUCUUGGGGGCCUUAAUGCUUGCUGAGUAGCAGCACUUUCUAGGACUUUCCCUAUUGUACGUUUCAGUCCAUGCUUUUCUUUUUGUCUUGUCUCAGUGUUCUUCCCUGCUAGUCUGGUUCUCAACAAGACCCAAGCCCUGCAACACACCCAAAUCCCCUUGAUGGGAACCUGAUUUCCUACGUGGCUUUUCCCAGUCACCCCAUGCUCUCCCCACUCCCAUCUUUCCUGGUGAAUUGCUCCUUUCCUAAAUCUGUUGUGAAUAACAAUUUGGCCACAGUGCUAAAGCCUCUCACUCCUCACUUUAAAUUCCUUUGGGAAACAGUCAUUCAUGUUCAUUUUAGACAAUUUCCCUGUCCUGUGCGGACUCUUCUCAAGAAGUCUACUCCCAAAACUCCUGCUGAGGUAGGUCCAGGUCA
rnacentral:lncRNA from 10 species